rnacentral:lncRNA from 1 species
UGCCUUUCGUCAUUGGGGACUACUUCGACGACCUGACCCCUGAGGAGCAGCAACUCACGCUCGAGGUGGCCGCCCAGCACGAGGAGGUCGAGGACAGGUACGCCAAGUACCAGGAAAGAGUCCGCAAGGAGCUGGAUGAGAAGGGAUUCGUCGCGCUCCCCGAUGACGUUGACAAGAGGAGGGCCGCGCUGAACGCGCGCUGAACGCCGCAAGCAUCGAGGCUUUCAGAGGAGUCGCCGAGGUCAAGUAGGUUUUCAGGAACUUACAUGGGAAGAAGAGGAUGCAUCAUAGCGCCGUCUGCCUCUCUUGUUUUAUCUAUCUAUAUAUAUCUUUCUGUGUGAUAUCAAUGCACUGGUCUAGAUUUCCUGAAUCUGUUCACUGGCACUCUUGUCAUUUAUCAAGCUGGAACUAGUCAUUGUGAUCUAAGUUGAUCUAUGUUUCACCUUGCAAUAAACUUGUCUAUAAAUUAUGGGUCCGAAUAACUGCCACACGUGUGGCAUCGACGGGAACCAGCCCGCACGCCUUGUGUGGCAUGGACGGGAACCGGCCCGCACGACCAUGUUCGCGCGCACAAACACACGGCCCGCAUGUCCGUUGCGUGCCAACCCCGCCCGCACUGCCUCGUCCGGGCAAGCCGACCCGCUGCCCGCACGACCAAGCAGUUCAUGGCCUCCGAUCAAUCCCCUCUCUCGUCUGCCGCCAUCGUCCCCCACCUCUCGAACCCCAACCUCCGUCGCCGGCCUUCUCUGGUUGCCAUGGCAAUCAGAGCAGAUCCAUAGGGCACUCCCUCCUCAAAACCACACCCCAACCCUCCCCACCCCAGGCUCCAAACUCCAACCCAGCCCUCCAGAGACGAAAAUCUAAAAACCAGGUGAGAAUCUCCCGAUCUCGACGUUCUCAUCCUUAAGGCUGAAAAUCUCCCGAUCUUGUGCUAGAUCUAUGCUAUAGGGGUAGAACACUACAUGAUUCAGUGUGUAGUCGCAAUUGCCAGGCAGAGUACACCAGAUCUGCCAUGUACUACAUUUGAAAUUGACUUAACUUCCUAGCUUAAUUGACGCAAGUAGUUGGGUAUGAAAAAUGGAUUAGUAGGAAUCACUAAAGAAGGACAGUAGGGGCAAAUUUUGGAAUGAAGAGGGCUGGAAGAAAUUAGUUGCCACUUGUGUAUAGCGAUAGUUGCCACCUUUCCUUGUCCGUAGCUGCCACCUAUUUUGACCCGUCGCUUGCCAUCCAUAUCUUCUAUGUGCAAGCAGCAGAAGAAUACAAUUCUUGUGGAUUGUUGAUGCCUUCUUGUUCAUGCAGUGGUUGAGAACACAUUGGAAAGAAGCGAGACACGGAAAGAAUGAAUCACGAAGAUGGCGCUGAUGCUUGGGGUUCUCAAAGGCCAGAAACGCCCCCUUGGGAUGCAACAGAGUACAGUCAGCUCAUCUCUUCAGGACCGUUGCUGCCACUACUAGAACAGUAUGCAGGCGUAGGUAUGAUGCGUGAUAACAAAAGAAGAGAACAGUUGCCAUCUUCGCAACGAUGAAGAUGACAUUCUACUUAUGUCGUACACUGUCAUUUUUUCGCAGGUUCUUAUGACCAAAACACAAUUAGGGGGCCCCCGUGGCAAGUUCACUCACAAGGCGCUAACACUGACAAAUGUACGGGCAACCAACUUCAACUAGCUUGUAUGGAUAAUCAAGGUAAUGCAAACUGAGAAAAGAGAACAUACUGCAGUGGACAUCAAAAAUGAACAUGCAAAAAAAACUGGCAAAAGGACUCACGAGUUACCAUGGGUGAAAAUGCAGAGCCUUCAUGCAACGCGUGGCAUCAGGCAACACCAAUGUACCUGCCAUCGACAUCAUACACAGGUGAGUACAUAAAAAAAGUGAAGUUGCAGAUGAUCAAUUAGCAGAAGGAGCAUAGUUGACAACUACAAUUGCCAUGACUGGACAACUACAGUUGCCGUGUAUUAGAAAAUACACUUGACAUCUCUGCACAAUUGUUGUUGCCAUCCAUGGACACCUGUAGUUGCCAGGGAAGAACAACUGCAGUUGCCAUGCCAGUGUGACUACAUUUGCCAUGCCAUGGCAACUGCAGCUGCCAUGAAGGAACAAUUGCGGUUGCCAUGCUGAUGCAAAUACAGUUGCCAUGCCAGUAAAACUGCAGUUGCCACAGAAGGGGCAACUGCGGUUGUCGUGCUAACACAAAAUGCAUUUGCCAUGAAUUGACCAACCACUACUUUGCGUACAGGUUAUUACGCUGGUGGUAACCCGACAAAUGUCUCGUGGCAAGCUUCAGAAACUGCAGGUGGAGCACGUCAUUUUGGUGUCACAGACCACACAAGAAGGUCAAAUGCAACACAACAAGGUAAGGGAAAAAAACUGAACCACAAAAACAGCACUACAUUUGUUAUUUGAAGUUAUUUGUAGGCAAAAACAAUAGUUGCCAUGUUUGUUGAACAGUAGCUGCCAUCACUGGACAGCUGUAGCUGCCGUACAUGUCCACGCGCAGAAUCACGGCUUGCUAUUUGAAAUGAUGUCGUGCCAAAUCACUCGUAGAUGGUGUGAUCCAUUGCGAUACACAUGUUAUUCAAACAAAAAACUUACUUUCCUAUUACAGGGCCUACAACUACAGUUAACAGCGGCGCGGGGACAUCUACUGCGGGGAGCUCUGAGCGCACGGAAGACGCGUUCCACCAGCCAGCAGACAAUCAUGCCGCAGACAAUUUCGAGUCACAGUCGAGAAUGACAAUCAUUCCAGCAAUACCGACAAGCACCCCUUUGAACACAAGCACUGCCAACACUCAAGUGGAUGGAACUGCCGCCGAUACUGAAGUGAAUGAUGAAACUGACGACGAGGCAGAAGGGGAUGAAGAUGGCGGGCAAUCAGAGAUCAUGGUACCUCAGCCACCAUACAUUGGGCAGAGAUUUGAAUCGUUCGAAUAAGCAAAGGAAUACUACCAGACAUAUGCAAUGUUCCAUGGAUUUGCGGUCAACACCGAGUACCAUAGGAAAAUUACGAAAACUAAUGAGUACAACAGAGGUGAGAUGAGGUGCCACAAGGCACGGAGGAACAAGAAGGGGAAAGGUGAUGCGCCUGUCGUUCCGGAACGAAAGAGAGGUAUCAUUCUAAAGACUGAAUGCCCUGUCCGGUGUAAGCUAAACGUAGAUGGUACACAGUGGGUGGUCAUUGACUAUUUUGACGAGCACAACCACCAACUCAUAAAGAAGUUCGACCUGGUAAAAUUUCUGACCGCCCACAGAGGGUUCACCCCCGUCGAAAGACAAUUCGUAAAGCUGCUACACGAUUGUAACGUCGGUCCAUCAAGAAUGAUCCAGAUACUAUCGCUCAUCCACAGCAAAAAGGGGACUCUGAGUAGCAUGCCGUACAUACCAGCUGACGUCACAAACCUACAGGCCAAAUACCGUAGAGAGAGCAAACUGGCAGACAUGGAGGCCACAAUUGCCUACUUCGAUGAGAAAGCGAAGGAAGAUCCAGAUUUCUUCUACAGGAUAAGGUUGGACGAUGAGGACCGUGUCAGGAACAUGUAUUGGGUGGAUGGUGCUGCAAGGAGAGCCUACAAACAUUUCCGAGAUUGCAUUUCAUUCGACGCGACGUACCUCACCAAUAUGUAGAAGAUGCCAUGCACUCCGUUCAUAGGAAUAAAUAACCACAAUCAGUCGUUGCAGUUCGGCUGCGGGCUCGUUCGGAACGAAGACACGGAUGGGUACGUCUGGUUGUUCAAGACCUUCUUGGAGUGCAUGGAUGGACUUGUGUCGAUGAACAUAAUAACAGACCAGGAUUUCAGCAUGCGGGCAGGCAUAGAGGGGGUCUUUCCGUUGGCAGUGCAGAGGCACUGCAGGUGGCACAUUAUAAAGAAGGCUGAGGAGAUGCUAGGACCGUUCUUUGCUGACCGUCCAGAGCUACACAAGGCAUUCGAGCUGUGCGUGGACCACAGCUUGACGGUCGAGGAGUUUGAAAGGAGCUGGAUGGCCAUGGUUGAAGCACAUGAAGUCCAAGACAACGAGACGCUUGCUAGCCUGUGGGAGAAGUGAAUGUACUGGGUGCCCGCCUACUUCAUGCAGUGCUUUUUCCCCUUUCUGCAGACUACACAGCGUAGCGAGAGGUUCAAUGCUGUUUUGAAGCGAUACGUGAGUCCUGGCAACUCAUUGCUACAGUUUGCCAAGCAAUAUACAGCUUUGCAACAAAAAAUACUGGGAUCUGAGCUACAGCAAGAAGCGAACACCGCACUAAAACAACUAAAAUUGCUGACGUAUUUACCGAUGGAGAGGCAAAUGAGCAAGAUAUACACAAACAAGAUCUUUAACAAGUAAGUCAGCUGCGUUACGGUCUUAUUUGCGGAAAAGUACUAAGGCAGUAGGUGCCUAGUAGAGUGCAAUGCAGUUGCCAUGAUAUGCAGUUGCCAUGUUUAAUGAAAUACUGUUUGCCAUGCUUACUCAGCUGCAGUUGCCAUGUUCAAUGAAAAUUCUGUUUACAAUGCUUACUCGGAUACAUUUUCCAUGUUCAAUGAAGUGCAGAUGCCAUGUUUAAUGAACUGUACUUUCAUUGGGGCAUGUUGGUAUGCAAAUGCCAAUAUCAACUGAAAAAUGUUAUAUUGUCAACGCAUAUGCUGAAAUGCAAUUGCCAUGUUUAGUGAAAUGCAACUGCCAUGUUUGUUGAAAAUGCAAUUGCUAUGUUUUACUCAAAUGUAGAUGCCAUGUUUUAUGCACUGUGCUUCCAUUGGGGGAAAUAUUGGUGUGGAAAUGACGAUGGCCAGUUGAAAAUGUAGUACAGUUGCCAUGUUCAGUGUACUCUAGUUGCCAUGUCUGGUGUACUGUAGUUGCCAUGUCUGGUAUACUACAGUUGCCAUGUUCAGUGUACUAUAGUUGCCAUGUCUGGUGUACUGCAGUUGCCAUGUCUGGUAUACUGCAGUUGCCAUGUCUGGUAUACUACAGUUGCCAUGUUCAGUGUACUAUGUUUGCCAUGUUCAGUGUACUAUGUUUGCCAUAUUCAAACAAAAAUCUAGUUCUAUUUCCAUGACAGCGUAACGUCCUACAAAAAAAAGAUCGCACGAUAGAUUAACAUAAAACACACAAAACUUGCAGAUUUCAGGAAGAAAUAAAGCGUGCCAGCAUGUUCACGGCUUUCCAGGUGGGCGAACAUACGUUCAAGGUGUGUUCUAUUUUGGGCAUGUCGGAUUCAGAACCUGAAGACCCACACAAAGGAAGGAACUACUUCGUGAAAACCUCGAUCGAGCAAGGUGAAUACUACUGCCAAUGCUGCAAGUUCAAACAGGACGGCAUUGUGUGUUGUCACAUACUAAAGGUAAUGGACAUGAACGUUGUGAUACGGAUGCCCCGCCAUUUCAUAAGGCGACGAUGGACUUGGGACGCUGACGACGCGUUGGCGCCGCAGACAACACACGCAGUUCUGGCUGUGCAUGACGAGAGACCUGAGUCAACCAUGGAAGCCGUGAGGCACGUUGUGCUCACAAAGAACUAUGCUGAGCUAAUUGAUGAAGCGUGCAAGAGUGAUGAGACAGCGAGAGUCGCAGAAAAACACAGGAAGGCACUGAAAAGAGAGCUUGAUGAGAUCAAGAAAAGGAAAGCUGAGGAAGCCUUACACCAGUUCCCCCGCACAUCAAGUGUGCCUUCAUCGACGGGGCCAUCAUCUGAAAACUCAGAGAUAGGAUCUGGAACAGCAAGCACACAAACCCAGGUCAGGAACCCACCCCGUUCCAUAACAAAGGGUUGCCCCAGAGAGAUAAGGUACAAGUCAGGAUUGGAGAUUCAAGCAAAACACAAGAAAACGAAGAAAGGGGCGGGCAAUCCAUGAGCAGAAAUUGGGGCAAUGUGAAAUGGUCCUUGCGGACAUUUUGUUUUGUACCCUAGACGAUGAGUUUUUUUUAAAUUUGGGAGAAUAACUCUUGAGGAGCAUCAGAAGUGGAAGGAAAAUUCAUUGAGUGGAGAAAUGCAGUUGCCAUGUUAUGGGUACUUAAUCUGCCAUGUUAUGUGUAUUAAAUCCGCCAUGUUAUGUGUACUAAAUCUGCCAUGCCAUGCUAUUUUAUACUAAAAUAUGUGUCAUGCUACUUUGUACUAAAUAUGCCAUGCUAGAUGUACUGGAUCUGCCAUUUUAGUUGUACUGGAUCUGCCAUGUUAGUUGUACUGCAUCUGCCAUGUUAAUUAUGUUUGAUCUGCCAUGUUGUUUGAACUGUAUCUGCCAUGUUAGCUCUGCUGAAAAUAUACCAUGGUAUUUGAAAUGACUCUGCAUGACAUAUAUUUCCAGGACAAAUACCACGCGGUUUAGAGAAACAUAGGGUGUUGUGGGCGAUGUAUGGGAAACAAGUUGGAAAAAGGCGUAACGUGCAUAAACCAUAGCCAAGGUUGUGGAUGCAUGAUCAACCCUACCCCAUGCUAGCCGGUGCACUUAGCGACGAAAAAGAAGAAGCAAAACUGACAAAAUGAAAACCAUCGAUGACUUUCGCUACCCGUGUAUGUUGAACUACAUUUUCCAUCUGUUUUAGAACAUCAUAGACGCAAUCAAAACAGCAAACUGGAGCUGUAAGCGAUGAAACCGUUGUAAUAAUGAUAAAACAUAAAAAAUAUGUGCAUUUACGCCUAAAAAAGGUUCACGUCCACACAUAUAUUAGAGAAACUACUAAAUUGUCGCUCACACACCACCACUACAAAGUAGCCUGCGCGGGGUUGCAGUCGUAACAUAGCACACUGACAUAGUUUUCAACGAUAACAAAGAGAUAAGUACCUUACAUUCCUCAGCAACAGAAUGUAAGGUAUGCGUCCGGUGUGUAACACCACGUGAUCACUUGUACUUCUUGUUGAUUUUCUUGACAGCUUCCUCCACGAACUCGCGUGCUCCGGACCGCUUGUUGAAAUCUUCAUUCGUCAACCAGUUCCAUGUGUGGAUUUUUCGGAGCUCAACGACCAUUGCAGCUGAGAUAGCAGGGACAACUCUGCCUUCCCACUUUGCAAAGUAUUCCAGCGCAUGAAAGCCACAGUCUGUACUGCACGAGAAAAAGACUCAGAUGAACAUGCAAAAAAAGGACAGACGUAUCAAAGAUAGACUUCAAUUCAGAAGUGACAACAAAAAUAGGGGUUGGAUUGAUGUAAACAGCACAUGAAGGAGGGGGUUGAGAAAUUACGUGUUCCCUUGCUUCAUAGUCGCCACAUACUCAAUCAGGAAAUGCCUGAUCUGGACCUUUGAAUGUUCGUAGUGACGGUUCCAUGUCUCUUUGAGGUUUUUGAUGAAGAAUUCGGCGUGUGUAGUAAGGUCUGAAUCAGCUUCCGAACGGAUUGAAUCAAGCACCUCAAAACGUUGGUUCUUCAGGUCAAGGCAGAUGGCAUAGUGGUGACCACACUUGUCUUGCUGGUCAUGUGGUGCAAGCUCCUGGAACAUGGGGAACAUGACCUGCAUUUGAAAAGUGAAUGAAUGAGAAAGCAGAUUACACAAAAAGAACAGCGGAGGGACAAAAAAUAGAAUCACGUAGAAUGUUUGGUUAUGGGUGAGCAAAAUGUGCCGUGCAUUUUACAAUCAAAUUGCCACGUAGAUCGCACGGGAUGCAAAAAUCAAGAUGACAGUGUGCACGGCAGCUGUUGCCACAUGAAAACAUCUGCCACAUAAUCACAAGUGCAGCAGAUGGCAAAAACGACACCAUGUGAAAAAACAGUGCAGACAGGGGAGGAGAACUCACAUAUUUCUUCAGUGUUAGCUUGAAUUCAUCGUGUUGAGCGAAAUUCUUCUCAGGAUUUUAUGGUGGAAGUCACCAUCCCAUAUUUUGCAUGUCACACUGUAAUGCAUGAUGAUCUUGUCAGCACACACAUCGAUGUGAUUGUUGAUGUAGUCGAUCCCGCAUGCAACUACAUUUGUCGACAUUUUACCGUUUGGCCUCACGGACUCGGCGAGAUCACCUAGGUCAACGUACGUCGCUCCGCAUUGAAUGACUUUGGUUCUGUCCAAACAUGAGCUGUAUGAAAAUGACAUAACAUGGAAGAAUCAUGCAUGCUAAGUAAAAAAAAUAUAUGAAAGAACUAGAACGUAAGCGCAUCAUGUACAGAGAGUAUGAAGAAGAUGAAUGUUAAGAAAGGAACAAAGCAAAAUGAGAGAUUAUAGGGUGUGGUCAUUUACGCUUUCAACUCCUUCAUGUGCUUGCUGCUGGCCCUCGCAUUUCCAAACUGCUUGAUGAUGUCGUACAGUUGGGUCUGUUCCUUAGUGGCCCUGAAUUCGGGCUCGUAGUCUUCCACGGGAGGUGGGUGAACUACCCUCUGCUGUCUCAUAGAACCAUGGGUGGCACUUCUGAUGGUAUCCUUAGAUGCCAUCUCUGCAGGCAAGUUGGAACUUGAUUGCCCUUGCCCUCGCGAGGUCCUCCUCUGCAAUGCUGCCUCCUCGAUCUUGCGGUAAGCUUCGUCAAGUGACGGUGAAAUUUCCUCAGGGGUGCCUGCAAUGGCUCAAAAAAUAAAAAGUGUGUUAGGACAAGGAGAAAGUCAGAAAACAGAUGGGUUGUGAGGAAAUAGGGUGUAUGAUGUGACAUGAAGGUAGAAAAAUAGUGGGGAAAUUGACAUGUGUGGUGCAACUACAGUGGCCACGUCAUGGCAACUACAGUUGCCAUGCAGUUGUGCUGAAUUACCAUCUAGAUGGAUUGUGGUUGCCAUGUCACAUCAAAUGCAGUUGCCAUGUUGUGUCAACUCCACUUGCCAUGUGAUUGCCAUACAGAAAAAAAUGCAGAAUGGUAACAAAAAAAUGGAGGUGACAUGGUGUGGCAAAUCCAGUUGCCAUGUGGAAUGCACUAUAUUUGCCAUGUACCAGCAAAUACAGUUGCCAUGAUGAAUCAACUUCAGUUGCCACGUGUUUACCCGAAUGUCAAAAAUGCAGCAUGGCAACCAAAAAAUGUAGGCCAUGGUGCAUCAAAUCCACUUGCCAUGCCAUCACACGGCAGUUGCCAUCACAAGUGAGAACACCCAAAAGAAUAUGAUUGGGACAAAAUUCAAACCACAAAGAUGUAUCCAGGAAAAUCAUAAGGACAUGACAAGUGUACCUUGCACAAUUGGCUCCGCGAACUUGACAGCCUUCCUGCCCUCGACCAUUGGCUGCGCCAUCAUUGCGGGCAUGCCUCCUAGGAAAGCAAAGGCAACUGGCAAAGGAUCGUGCACCACUGGUUGAUCUUGACUGAUGCCAAGGCUGAAGCUCGGUGGGGUAAAUGCCAUUGGGUGCCUCUCAUUCCUACUGGCCGGACCACAAACGAUUUGCGGGGCAGAAUCCAAUGGUGAAAGAUCGACAAACAUAUCUGAAUCGGUCGCUACAGAAUGUUCGGGCUUAUUUGCAGGGCGGGGCGUGUUGUCGGCGGUAUCAGCAGCAGCUUUCAUGGCAAUCUUCUUGUUUGGGCUGUAGGGGACACCGACAUUGACUAGGAGCCUGGAAGUGCGCAGAUUUAUGCUGGGGAUUUCCACUGCGGGUAAAGGCGCAGUCUGCCCCGACCGUUCACCUGCGUCACUCGUGCCCGACUUCACACCUGCAUCAAUUGUGCUCCGGUCUUGCGGUUUCUCCAUCACAUUGCUUCUGGCGGGUGGCGGGAACAGUGUGAACGCAGGAACAUACCCAGGCUCGUCUCUCCUGCUCCUAGAUUCAGCCGGUGCGUUGGGUAUGUCUGUUGGUUGCUUGCGGGGGCUGCGACGCCUAGGUGGAAGACCAGCACGCGCCACGGUCACCUUAGCAGUAUCUGCACCGACAGGGGCUGGAGCUGUUGUGCUAGGACUCUCACCUGUAGAUGGCAUAUCCUUAUGAACUGCCGCCUCAGCAGCUUCUGUCGUGGACACAGGUGUGCCACCACGCACGCGCUUGGAAUCAGUGUCAGAAGAGCGGGAAUCUUCCUUGCCUAGGUUCGUCUCGGGAGCGUCCACUUCAACGCUUGCUGAUGGGGUGGCAUGGCUCACAGCAGUAUCCUUCAUUGCAAGAAGAGUUGGCAAUAUUUCAGCUGUCCUGGCAGAUACCGACUCGUCACUCCCUGAUGUACGGAUGCCUGUUGUUCUAGCCUGGACAUCCGCAGCCGGCGGAGAUGGUCGGCCACUUGCAUCAGAGUUGGUGGGAGCGGUCAACGGUACAACAGCAGUAUUGUCGCCUGGUGCCUCAUGUACAUCUGAGUUGCUCCCCGUUGACAACUUUGAAUGUAGGCGUUCGAACGGGUCCUUACUGCUAUGCUUGGCCCCGCGCAUAGUGGUCUUCUUCACCCUGCAAAAAGAAAAAAAUCACAUGAGAAAGGUAUGAAAAAUGAACAAAAAAUAUGUUUGCCAUGGUAUAAAUCUUAAAAGAAUUGAGAAAACAAGUGGAAAAGCUAGUAGUUUCCAUGUAAUGGGAACAUGAGUUGCCAUGUGUCAUAGUUAGCAGUUGCCAUCCAGCAGCAGUUGCCAUGUUAGCAACUUGAAGAAUGAUACAAGUGUAUGUUCUGUCAGGAAUGCAAUUUGAAACCUGUGUGUGGGAUGAGCUCACAAACCCAAAGGUAAAGAUGGCAGCUGCCAUUAGCUAGAGUGGUAGUUGCCAGUUGGCCUAGAUGCCAGUUGCCAUGUAAAGACCAAUAGGAGUUGUCAUAAGCUAAAAAAACUGAAGGAAGAAAUCAUUUGGAAAAACAACGGUUGCCGCAUGGGGGACAAUGACAGAAGAACAUGUGACAAGCUGAAACAAUAGCAUUGAAAAUUCAAGAAAAAAUACCACUAUGUACAUGAAAGCACAUGGAUAAACAUACUUCUUGACUGGCUUCCUCAGGUCUGGCAACACGACAGGAUCCCCGGUGUUGGUCGUCGUCGUACAAGGAGAAGACCUGGUGGAAGGGGUGUCACCGACAAUGGGGGCACCUUUGUUCAAGCGAGCAGAAACAUGGGUUGGCGUUUGCGCCUGUUUCUUCGUAACUGCUCGUCCACCAGCGGUCGGCUCCCUGCACGUAAUAGAUGGAGGGAAAAAAGAAGGUGGCAACUGUCAGACAACAAACCCAUUGCCGCGCUUGACAAAAAAACAAGUGCAGAGAAAUGGAUGAGAUUGUUCCAAGAAAAUAGACACAGCAGAAAACUAAAAUUGAAAGUCGAACCUCCUCCUGGCAGCUACGGGAUCGGUCCUAGACCUCUUGCCAUGCGAACCCUGCCCAACAUCAUCUGGAGCCCUCCCCCUCCUUGAUGGCAACACCCCCUCGCCUCUCGCAGCCAUAUGUUCUAUCACUUUCUCCGGUGGGGGGCAUCUAUUGCAUCCUUGCCCUUGUUGGCGCCUGUGCGAACUUCAGCAUGUUCAUCGUCAUCCGUGUCCUGAUGCACAUUAUCCAUGUCAUCAUCGUCAUCCUUGCUGAGGCCAGCGUCUCCAUCUACAUCAUCUUGUGUGUCACUGGGCUCUUGGGAACUGUUGUAGUCAUACCGGCCACGACAACCGGUUGGUCGAUGUGUAUGUUCUGGGACAAAUGAAGUGAACUGCCUCGCAACCGCAUCGCUGUCAGAGGCACUGAGGGACGUCCACCCCUCAACCAACUCCCCGAGCAAGCCGGUCAUUCCGGAUGCAAACUGCCCAAUGAGAUGCUCAACUGGUGCCCUCGCCUGUGCACAAAAACAAGAAGCAUCAACAACAACCCGUAUUGCAGUCGCUUGCGCGACAUCAACAAGUAAUCCACGGCAAACAAUGGAUGUCGAUAUUUUGAUUACCUCAGAAGGGCAAGACGGAGCUGAGUGCACGUCCAUCCACUUUCCAAAUUUUUGAGGCCCCCCAAACACGCUGUAGUCUAUAGCAUGCUUGGCCAUCAGCUAUGAAAAACAAAAAGAAAUUGUAAGCAUGCCUUAUAAACCACGGACAGUUGCCUCAUGUCAAAUUUGUAAGCAUGCCGUGGGAAGAGAUAAACAAAAACUAACCUGUAGUUUUCCAUAUGUGGUAUCAGUUGCCCUGUCUGCGGCAAGCACAGCCUUGACAGCGUUGAUGGUCCACGCAGAAACAGCAAACUUGUGCGUAGGCGGCGGGCCUCCUACCCCAGAGAAAUCCACGGUGGACAGAUCAAGACAGUCGACAUACAUUAGCUGAUUUAAAACAAAUUUACAAAGAAAGAAAUGUCAGUUUCCAUCAUGGGUACUUUGUAGUUGGGAAAAAGAGCAGGAUAAUGUAUGAUCCAAUGAUAGUAUGUAUGUGCUAGUUGCCAUCAUAGUGUGCUGGCAGUUGCCAUCAUACUGUGAUAACAGUUGCCAUAUUGUCAGUAUGACAGUUGCCAUAUUGUCAUUAUGGCAGUUGCCACAUUGUCAUUAUGGCAGUUUCCACAUUGUCAUUAUGGCAGUUGCCAUCUUGUUAUGAUCGGUUUGCCAUGCAUGAAUAAAACUGUGUUAUAAAACAAGAGUUCACACAGAGAUCUGGUAAAAUAAAUACCAUUAAAUGCAGUCGACAACCCUUCUGGUACAUCUUGUUUUCGAAAGCAUCAUGGAGAAAGUCGGCAAUAAACUUACACCAGUUCAUGUUCUUCACAUUUUUCUGAUUCGCCUGCACCACACAAAAUUUCAGGGCAAAAAGUUUGCCGCAUCAGAAAUCAAACGGAAAAUAACAACGAAAACACUGGCAGUCAUUAGCUUAACACGUGACAUCGGAGCCAUAAGAUUGAAGGAAAAUAAAGUAGAAAGGAUGGAUCAUUCACCAGGAUGGGGAAACAUUUGUUCCUUGGGCGAAGGGAAGUGGUCGGCGCGAAAAUAGCUAAGAUGAGGUACAUGAGUAGCUUCAUCUUGAAAACAUCUCCAUGCGUCGUCAUGGCCUGCAGCGAAUCUGCCAUUGCAGACGUGUUCGGCAUGGAUUCCGACCCAGGAAACAAACAGGGGAACAGCUCUUGCUCGAUCUCAUUGUUGACCUCGUACGGGACUUUGAUAUGUCCACGAGGCACACCCAGAGUGCAAAACACAGAAUCCUCGUUCAACGGGAGUCUUCCACGUCCCGGAAUCACGAACUCCCUGGAGGUGGGCUCGUAUAUCUCAGCAAGCCAGUCGCAUACAGGGUUAGCAAGGUUCGUGCACCGGACAACCAUCAUAGACUGCAUGCCCAUCUCAGAAGUAGCCCCCUUCUGAUCAUCACUGAAUUUGUCAGUCAACACAGUCAGUCGUUCUUGGGAGGCUCUAUUGCAAAUACGUUUCUUCUUCUGCAAAAAACAGACACAAAAGUGAUCAGCUGUUGCCAUGUUUUGCAAUGUCAUGAGAAUUUAGUUCAUGACAGACGACUACAAAAGAUAUAGGUGCCAACCAAUAACAAAAAUCGGGAGGAGAUGGGGCGGGUGUGUGGACAGUUACCUCGUCGCCCUCUUUUCUCCGUCCAGUUGCCCGGUUACGCUAUGGUGGAUCUAUGAAAUCAUCGUCAUCAUUUUGAUGAUCGCCACGAGCCAUUCUGCUGAUGUAGGAACAUACCAAAUUGUUAAGGGGGAAAAUGUAAAUGCAAGAGGUAAGCAUUUGCCACCUAACAGAAAAUGUCAACUAGUGAAUGCAAAAAUAUAGCAUGAACAUGCACGCGGCCCCCCCUCCCCCCCCAUAUGAUUGUCGAGAACAUAAACGUGGCAAGUAAGCACGUUGGUUAAUGCACUUGAAAACAAAAUGUUGAAGUUGCCAUGUUAGCCCAAUAUAGUACAAAAAAAGCAAUGAAACCACAUUUGAAUUGAUAACAUGAAAAAACAGGCACAAUGUGUUCAGAUAUCACAAAAGUCAGUGUGGCAAAACGAAAAAUUGCGUCCGUAGUACACUGAAAAUGCCACAUUUGUACUGACUGUAACAUGACAACAGCCAUGAUGUGGCAACAAACAUGAUAUGGCAUCUGGCACAAUUGGUACGCAAAUGUGGUUGCCAUAUUAUGCAGCCAAUUUGCCACACAGUCAUAUCUGCAUUGUGGCAACAGACAUUGUGUUCACAUUCUAUUUACCACAUGAUUAUACAAUCCAAGUGGCAAACACGCACACUCGAUGUGCACAUUAGUUGUCGUCCAGUGCAGCUGGAUACCGAAACUGCAUUGACUACCGAUUGUGGCAACUAUCAAAGUGUGGAAACUAUGACAAAUAAUUCAGAAAAAAUUAGAUCUCACAAUGAAAAAGCAUGUUUGUGGUUACUAUCAUAUAAUUUCACCAAAAUUCAGUUUGCCACAUGGAAGAGCGUGUGUGUGGCAACUAUCAUAGUCAUUCAAUAAAAUUAGUUGCCCUAUGUGAAAGCUUGAAUGUGGCAACUAUGACAUACAUUUUCGGUAAUUUGUUGCCGCAAAGGAAAACACGUUUGUGGCAACUAUCACAUUUGUUCAGGGAGUUUAGUUGCCACACAAAAUUCGCCUCGUUCUGCCAAGUUCAGCCAUUCUGCCAAGUUCAGCCAUUCUGCCAAGUUCGUCUCGUUCUACAGUUCCAAAACCAAACUAACUAGAUCUAGGUUUCAAUGGCAACUACUUCGACUUCAAGAUCACCCUCAAAAUUCUCGCACGAACUGACUGCAAACACAAAUUCAAACCAAUGGGCAUCAAAACAAACCGGGGGACACCUCCCACAUCCAUGCGCAAGACUAGUGCGUGCCUCGGAACAGGCAUAACCGCAUCGAGGAUGCCGCGGCUGCCGCGGUGACGAAACUGCCCAGUGCCACAAAAAAACGGCUAGCAGACAACUUCGGCGCCGGCGGGAACGCCGACGCACCGCCGAAUCGCCAGAAUCUCUAUGAAUCGAUCUAGGAAUCGAAUAGGGAGGGAAAUGGGAAAAAAUGCAGGAAGUGGUUGCGAGAGAUGAAGCGAGCAUUACCUUCAACCCGCACGGGUUCCGGCAAAGCCGCUCUGCUCCGGCGAGCACCACCGACGGCCGCGAACACCGUCGAUUGUUCCGCCUCCGCCGUCGCCUUCUCCUCUCGCCUUCUCCUCUAGUGGUUUCAAGUGCGAGUGGGUUGUGCCAGUAAAUGCGUCGCGGGUGAGUAAAAUGGAACCGUGAGGGUGAGGGUGGAGGGGUGUGCGACGUGUUUGACGUCAACCACGGUCGGAGAGUGGCGUGCAGGCGCAUGGCAGUUCCACCGCACGCCUCUGAGUGGCAAUCGCUGACCACGGGAUGGCAACCACCGUGCAGGCGAACUGACUCGCACACCGCACACGAGACUCGUCCUACGUGGCAUCGAAAACCGGCCUGUUUGCUACAAGAUUCGUGCGUACCGAAGCCAACGGAGAUGUUUGCGUGUGGUCGGGGUGUUGAAUGCCCACAUGUGUGGGCGUUAACAUUUCUGUAAAUUAUUUAUGGGCGAUGAUGUGAUGCUUGUUGCUGUUUUGUUCAUCUAAACUGAAGUAUUCGCAGCCAUGGCAUGGACACACUGGAUUUAUCAUGUUAUACCAUGAAGAUGAGGGCUAGGCUACCAAAUUCAUAGUUUUGAAACAGGUUUUGCUGUCUGCGUGAGUUAAUUCCAUCAGUAAUCGGUUGCCUAAUGGGAACCCUGUGUCCCUAAUCAAUGCUGAUCAAAACUCUUAUACCAGCAAAACAAUCUUGACAAUAAGAUUGUUGAGGAGUUAACAUUUCUGAAUCUGUUUACCUUAUAAAGUUUACCGUCGAGAUGUCUUGCCUCUUAGAUCACAGGAUGGCAACUGCAAGCGUUCAGGGCUUCUCCUCUUAAGACUGUGAAAGCAGAGCUGGUUACGUCCAUUGGGGAAAAUUCCCAGUUACUCCCCUACGGACAAAUCAGGCCUUGCCUAGCCCAACCGUUUUUGUUUUGAUUUGUCCACAAAUUCCAUUAAGCUGCCCGCAAUGAUGUUGACCAGAUGUGCUUGUUGUUUGGUCUAGCAAUGCUGGUUAUACCAUUUGCUAGUCCCGUGUGUUUAUUUAGUCCCUUCUUGGGAUAUGAAUUUAAACUUUUAUGUCAUGAACUUGUUUGGGUGAUUUAAACUAUGCUUUGUCUUGUUUUGAUGUUUGAAAUAUCACCGUAAUGUCUCCAAAAUGCAACAUAUGGCAAGCGCCGGCUGCUCGCACGCGCUGCAGUUUCGUGUGUCUGUUGGAGCAGCUUAGGCGCAUUAUAUUUUGCAGCGGCCGUUGGAGCAAGCGCUAACGCAUUUUUAGCGUGUUGCGUGGCUAUUUUGAGAUGCUCUAAUAGCAAACUCGAAAAGAGAGGGCAGAUAAGAGCAAGUAUAAUAGUCCUACUCAGCAGGCUACAAGCGAUUCCACAUCAGCAAAAAUCUGAGCUGGAGGAGAGUAAAGACAGGAGACAGAAAGAAGCGAGCGCUUCGUCAUUCGCUCGGCUGCAGCACAAGGCGCGAGGACGUUACGCCCGCUUGCAGCCGGUAGCUGGCGCUAGCAAGGCUGCUCCCGAUUCCCUCUGUCCCACCAUCCAAUCAACUGCUCUUUCUUUUCUCCUCUUGCAUAUAGACAUUAAUUACUCUAGUUAUCCAGCAGCUGAUAUAGAGCCAACGUUAUUAGACGAGACUACUUGUACACCGGCUAUUGCUGAGAUGGCACCAAUAUAAAGCCAGCAGCGGGCGAUUCUAUUAGCCAUGCUCUAACUGCUACUACCUCCGUCCUGGUUUAUUAGUUUCCUUAGUAUUUUGUGCAAAACUUUAACAUUAAAUUUAACUAACGAAAUGUUAAUGCAUGUAACUAAAAAUAAUAUCUCUCAAAACUAUGUUCAAAUACGAAUCGAGGCAUAUAAUUUUUGCUGACAUGCAUAUAAUUUUUGCUGACAUGCAUUAUUAUUUACUUAGUUAAAUCUAUGGUCAAAGUUUGACACAAAAUACUACGAGAAUCAAUAAACUAGGACGGAGGUAGUAAUGUUGUAUACAUAUGACCCAAGAAAGGUGCUCAAGAAUGUGAGUACAUACAUCAACGAUCUGGAGAUAGCACAUAGUACUUAUUUUUUCCGAAACGUGAUGGCACAUACUCGAAUCGGAGAAAACAACUAACGUGUCAUGUCUAGAUAAUUAAGAGGAGAAAAAACUACACUAGACGUAUCCGCUUGCAUUGCUGAGCACCGUCGAAUCGCUGGCCGGCGCACCCCUGCUCCAUCUCUGGCAACGCCCGCCAUGGUCCUUCCGCGCGGAGCGUCUCCCUGAACGUACCCUUGUCUUCGUGCAGCAUCCCAAAGUCGUUUCACCGCUUCCAAAACUCAGGGCAAACCUCGGGAUCCGUGAAGGCCGCCGCGUAGGCGUACAGUGCCCGAGCGUGCGCGACUUCCCCGAGGCUGAUCUCGAGGUCAGCGAACCUGACGCACAUCGCCCUCGCGCCCUCGUCGGGCAGCCCGUCACCGACGAUCGCCUGGCGGUACACGUCCCUCGCCUUCAGAAGGCCGUAGAGCUCGGUAGCCCGCGCGAUGUACACCUCGUAGACGCCGAGCCUGUCGCCGGCGGGGACGGCGCUCGCGGCGUCCUCAUACACCUUCAUCGCGUGGCUCGCGAGGCCGAAGUCCUCCUCGAACCUCGCGCAUCUGAGGUACACGGCCUUCUUCCUCUGCGGCGGCGCCUGCAGGACAGCCGCCCGGAACAGGUCUCGCACCCUCUCCGGCCGGCUCUUCCCGUGCCUCUCGAUGAACUUGGUCAGGUACGGCUCCCAUAUGGCCUCGGCGUGCGGGUGCUUGAAGGACUUGAUGCCCCGCUCGUACACACGGAACGCGUCCUCGAAUCGCCUGUGCUGCUCGAGCAGGGACGUGUGGUCCGGCACCAGCAAUGGCGUGACGACGCCGAGGUCGUGCAUCUUGUCGUAGACGGCGCAGGUGGACUCGAGCGACCCGUGCGUUGUCAUCAGGUCCAGGUACAUGAGCCACAGCUUGAGACACUGGUGCAGUCUCACCCGAACGUCCUCGCCGCCGGCAGCAGCGGCGCGCGUCGUGGCCUCGAUCGAUGGUGGCGUGGUCGCUCGCCGGAUGAGGUCGCUGGCCCUCUCGGGAUCAUGGUGCCUCAGCUCCAUAUUGGCCCACUCGCAGUAAACCGUGGCGAGAUGCUCCGCCGCCGUGAAGUUCGCCUGCGUGGCUCUAUGGAGGACGUCUCGGGCGCAGUCGACGCUGCCAUGGUCCUCGUAAAUCUUGGCCAGCGCCAGCUAGAGCGUGUGCGAAGGCUUCCCCGUCGCCUUCGCCGGAUCGAUGGUCCUGACGGCCUCCGCAUAGGUCGCGGCGUGUCUCGCGGGGUCCUUGUGGAAGAUCUUGGCCCGCUCGUACCACGCCUGGACGUCGUGCGGGUUCUGCCUCAGCAGCACACUGUUGAGCAGCUCCGGCGGGCGUUCGAGCAGCCGCUCGAGCCUCGCCAUCGCCAAGUCUGUGCUGUCCCGAUCCGUGAGCCAGCAGUCCUGGACGUCGAUGGUGUCCGCUUGCCUGAGCUCGAGCUCCGCGGCGGCCAUGGCGUGCUCGAAGUGCUAGCAGAUCCUGUAAAUCGAGCCAUCCAUUAUAAUAACCGUCGGUUUGCGGGAUCCAUUUCAAAUCCCCGGCAGGAACGGAUGCUUCAAAUCGGGCCAUCCCAGAAAAUUUUUUGUGGGGUCCCGCAUCCGCGAGCCCAAUUCCUCCAUAUGUGCGGGAAUCCACCCAAUUUUGCCGGAUCCCCUUUCGGUUGGCGCGAAGCAACUUCCGCCAACAUGUUAAGUGUUUCUGCUAGGGAUUGUCAUGCUCACUAAAUUUUUUACCAUCAACAUAAUUUGCCAUAGGAAAGUGUUAGAUUUACCAUGCCUAAAAAUCUGAAUGUUAGCAUUUUCGUAUUUUUAGGGCUUAUUUGGUUUACAAUUUUCUAGGAUUUUCAUCUAUGGGAUUUUUCCUACGCUGAGCACCAUUUCAAAGGAACAUAGAUGCAAGAUUUCUAAGGAUUAUGUUCAUAUUCUUUAUCAUAUGGUGUUGUCCAUCAUGUCUGGCAACCUCCCGCCAGGAGAGAGCUUGACCUUCGGCUCCCUCACCUUUGUCACAGAUGGGGCAGGCUGGUUUUACAUCAAACCACCGUCCUUCCCUGGUCACACCACCUUCUUCGGGUCGCUCAGGUUCGUCAUCGACCGCUAUGGCGAUCUUCGACUCCGCGUUCCACCGCCCUAUCUGGCCGUAGGCGUGCUCCCAUCGGAGCCCAUUUCACCAAUACCACCGGCCUCGGGCUUAAAAGGACGACGACCUCGCAUCGACAAACCUCGCAGCCGAAGUUUGUAUUCCGGCCUUGAGUUCGAAAAGUUGCAUCGACCUUAUAACAAAAAACUAGCACGCCCUUGUGUCGUAUCUGAGCUUUGCUACCCUAAUCUCACUUCCGGAAACAAAAGACAGCGAUGAUACUGCGCCUAGCAUCAUCUUCAUUAAGCAGACGGAGGAAGGCGAGGAGACGGGUGCAAGCCUAAAACCGACACCAACCAGGAUGGUGACGAACCUUUACAUUCCAUCUCCCUGGAGCAGGUUCUCAUGAAUGCCCCGGGCGGCUCAACGGGCAGCAGAUCUUCAGCACCAACUAUGACUCCAAUCGUCACCAACACCAACGGAUCUGCGACAACUCGCGUGGUUCCAUCGUCCAUGGCCCCUCUAACCUCUGAGCCACUAAGUAUCACUCCAUCAGCACCACGUCUUCCACACUAAUUUGGCGGAACCCCAUCGGUUCCAACAUCCUCAUUACCGGACUCUCGGGGGUUCAUGACUCUCGGGGCCGGGACACUGAGCCUCGCCAGAACAACGAUGACACCAACUAUCAUCAAAGAUCACAGAUAGGGCAUUGUGGGUGCUGGACACACCCUUACUAGGAAAUAACCCCACAUAUGAACCAUGGAGGCCCUCAGGCAGGCCACCAUGGUAGCCCAGUUACAACUCCAGAGAAACACAACGAAGGUCGCCACACAGCAGGCGCGGUGAGGGAACCAAGACCAACUAACAGAGACGCCGACCUCGACGCCAAACCCGUUUGACCACCAACCCCCUUGCAGCCCUUGGGCACGAGGCGGUCAACGAUUUCGAUGAAAAUGGAGAUCCCUUGGGAGCGACGGCGAUCCACACCCAUUCACUAGCGAUGACACCCCCUCCCCCCCACAAACCGAAAUCAUCUGAUCAUGCAAAAUAUGAAGAUUAGUAAACAAACUCAAAACAGUACUCCCUCCGUCUCAUAAUUUAAGACGUUUUUGACACUAGUGCGGAGGGAGUACAUUUCACGCAAAAAGGUGCUCAAGAAUGUGAGUACAUACAUGAUACAUCAACGAUCUGGAGAUAGCACAUAGUAGAACUGGACAACACAACUAACAUGUCAUGUCAAGUGACAAGGAGAAAAAAGAAGGAACUACACUAGACGUAUCCGCUUGCAUUGCUGAGCACCGUCGAAACGUUGGCCGGCGCACGGGCGCAGCCCCUGCUCCACCAUGCCGGCGUCGGUGCGGAUCUCACCCCGUGCCCCUGCUCCAUCUCGGGCAAUGUCCGCCAUGGUCCUUCCGCGCGGAGCAUCUCCCUGAACGUACCCUCGUCGCCGUGCAGCACCUCAAAGUCGUUCCACCGCUUCCAAAACUCAGAGCAAACCUCGGGAUCCGUGAAGGCCGCCGCGUAGGCGUACAUCGCCCGAGCGCGCGCGACUUCACCGAGCCCGAUCUCGUGGUCGGCGAACCCGACGCACAUCGCCCUCGCGCCCUCGUCGAGCAGCCCGCCGCCGACGAUCGCCUGGCGGUACACGUCCCUCGCCUUCAGAAGGCCGUAGAGCUCGGUAGCCCGCGCGACGUGCACCUCAUAGACUCCAAGCUUGUCGCCGGCGGGGACGGCGCUUGUGGCAUCCUCGUACACCUUCAUUGCGCGGCUCGUGAGGCCGAAAUCCUCCUCGAACCUCGCGUAUCUGAGGUACACGACCUUCUUCCUCUCCGGCGGCGACUUCAGGACGGCUGCCUGGAACAGGUCCCGCACCCUCUCCGGCCUGCUCUUCCCGUGCCACUGGACGAACCUCGUCAAGUACGCCUCCCAUAUGGUGUCGGUGUGUGGGGGCUUGAAGGACUUGACGCCCCGCUCGUACACACGGAACGCGUCCUCGAACCGGCUGUGCUGCUCAAGCAGGGUCGCGUGGUCCAGCACCAGCAAUGGCGUGAUGACGUCGAGGUCGUGCAUCUUGUCGUAGACGGCGCAGCUAGACUCAAGUGACCUCUGUGUUGUCAUAAGGUCCAGGUACACGAGCCACAGCUUGAGACACCGGUGCAGUUUCGCCCGGACGUCCUUGCCGCCGGCAGCAGCAGCGCGCGUUGUGGGCUCGAUCGAUGGUGGCGUGGUCGCUCGCUGAAUGAGAUCGAUGGCCCUCUCGGGAUCCUGGUGCCUCAGCUCCAUAUUGGCCCACUCGCAGUAAACCGCGGCGAGAUGCUCCGCCGACGUGAAGUUUGCCUGCAUGGCUCUGUGGAGGAUGUCUCGGGCACAGUCGAUGCUGCCACCGUCAUCGUAAAUCUUGGCCAGCGCCAGCCAGAGCGUGUGCGGCGGCUUCCCCGUCGCCUUCGCCGGAUCCACGGUCCUGACGGCCUCCACGUAGGUCGCGGCGUGUCUCGCGGGCUCCUUGUGGAAGAUCUUGGCCCGCUCGUACCACGCCUGGACGUCGUGCGGGUUCUGCCUCAGCAGCACGCUGUUGAGCAGCUCCGACCGGCAUUCGAGCAGCUGCUCAAGCCUCGGGAUCGUCAAGUCUAUGUUGUCCCGAUCCAUGAGCCAGCAGUCCUGGACGUCGACGGUGUCCGCUUGCCUGAGCUCGAGCUCCGCGGCGGCCAUGGCGUGCUCGAAGUGCUAGCAGAUCCUAUAAAUCGGGCCAUCCAUUAUAAUAACUGCCGGUUUGCAGGAUCCAUUUCAUAUCCCCGGCAGGAACGGAUGCUUCAAAUCGGGCCAUCCCAGAAAAAUUUGUGGGGUCCCGCAUACGCGAGCCCAAUUCCUCCAUAUGUGCGGGAAUCCACGCAAUUUUGCCGGAUACCCUUUCGGUUGGCGCGAAGCAACUUCUGCCAACAUGUUAAGUGUUUCUGCUAGGGAUUGUCAUGCUCACUAAAAAAAUUACCAUCAACAUAACCAUGCCUAAAAAUAUGAAUUUUAGCAUUUUGGUAUUUUUUAGGGCUUAUUUGGUGUACAAUUUUGUAGGAUUUUUAUCUAUGGGAUUUUUCCUACGCUGAGCAUCGUUUCAAAGGAACAUAGAUGCAAGAUUUGCUAAGGAUUAUGUUCAUAUUCUUUAUCAUAUGGUGUUGUCCAUCAUGUCUGGCAACCUCCCACCAGGAGAGAGCUUGACCUUCGGCUCCCUCACCUUUGUCACAGAUGGGGCAGGCUGGUUUUACAUCAAACCACCGUCCUUCCCUGGUCGCACCUGAAGGAAAUAUGCCCUAGAGGCAAUAAUAAAGUUAUUAUUUAUUUCCUCAUAUCAUGAUAAAUUUUUAUUAUUCAUGCUAGAAUUAUAUUACCUGGAAACAUAAUACAUGUGUGAAUACAUAGACAAACAUAGUGUCACUAGUAUGCCUCUACUUAACUAGCUCGUGAAUCAAAGAUGGUUAAGUUUCCUAACCAUAGACAUGAGUUGUCAUUUGAUUAACGAGAUCACAUCAUUAGGAGAAUGAUGUGAUUGACUUGACCCAUUCCAUUAGCUUAGCACUUGAUCGCUUAGUAUGUUGCUAUUGCUUUCUUCAUGACUUAUACAUGUUCCUUUGACUAUGAGAUUAUGUAACUCCCACUUACCGGAGGAACACUUUGUGUGCUACCAAACAUCACAACGUAACUGGGUGAUUAUAAAGGUGCUCUACAGGUGUCUCCAAAGGUACUUGUUGAGUUAACGUAUUUCGAGAUUAGGAUUUUUCACUCCGAUUAUCGGAGAGGUAUCUCUGGGCACUCUGGGUAAUGCACAUCACUAUAAGCCUUGCAAGCAAUGUAGCUAAUGAGUUAGUUACAGGAUGAUGCAUUACGUAACAAGUAAAGAGACUUCCGGUAACGAGAUUGAACUAGGUAUUGAGAUACCGACGAUCGAAUCUUGGGCAAGUAACAUACCGAUGACAAAGGGAACAACGUAUGUUGUUAUGCGGUUUGACCGAUAAAGAUCUUCGUAGAAUACGUAGGAGCCAAUAUGAGCAUCCAGGUUCCGCUAUUGGUUAUUGACCGGAGACGUGUCUCGGUCAUGUAUACAUAGUUCUCGAACCCGUAGGGUCCGCACGCUUAAAGUUAGAUGACAGUUAUAUUAUGAGUUUUAUGCAUUUUGAUGUACCGAAGGUUGUUUGGAGUCCCGGAUGUGAUCACGGACAUGACGAGGAGUCUCGAAAUGGUCGAGACAUGAAGAUCGAUAUAUUCACUACAAAACAAAGACACAUCCGUGACAUUUUGGGCCGAACGAUUUUUUUUUCUGUCAUACAUAUGACACUUCUAUGAUGAUAAUUAUGACAAAACCCGGUAUCAUCAUAGAUGUGGUGGGCUCCUACUUCUAUGACAAAAAAUUAUGACAAAAAAUUUGUGGGGUCAGGUAUGUCUUUCACUCCUAAAUAAUAUCAAUGUUUUCCUAAGAAAUAAAUUUGGAUUCUAUAGUUAAUGGCUUGGUAACUCUUGCUAAAUUACAUAUAAAUACUGCAAUCUAAUCCAACUUUACACAAUGCAGAUAUGAAAGGGAAAAUCCAAAUUGAUGUAAUAUGGGAUUCACAUUGAUGUUUCAUGACCUUUGGUCCCUGUAAUACUGGAAGCAAUCCAAUCGCUUGUUCAUGUGUCAAAUAAGAAGAUGUGCAUGUUUCCAACACUUAUCUUCAGGAGUGAAAUUGUUUUGCCACUGAAAAGGAGCAUGUGUCAUUUGUCUUCCCUGUCAUGUAAAAAACAUGUUUAUUUCCCUUAAAUUAGAGUGAAAAACAGGGAAGACUGUUGGUUAAUGUGAUAUUCUAUUUUUGUCAUAUGGCUUGAAAUUUUUUUAACAUUACUUUUAAUGUUAAUGUCAUGUACCAUCAUAUUUAUUUUCAAACUGUGGUGUGAGGUUAUAUUGCUAGUUUAUGUCAUGUUCGGUUCACAAAUAUAUAUUGCCCAUCCGUGCCUUUAAGCUUUGUUGGUAGAUUCUGUCAUUUAUAGUGCAUAAAAUCUAUUUCUACUUUUAGUGUAAAAUUGACUUGUACACAGUUUGAUAUUUUAAGACAUUGUGCUUACUUUUUUGCUAUAUCUAUUAUAGAUGGUGUUCCGAGAGAUUUUAUAAAGUAUGUCGAUAGUCGGAUCAUUUAUCCUUAACUUGAUAGACAAGUUCAAAGAUUUACAUUCUUCAGAGUGCAUAACUGACACGCUAAAUCCUAACUUCGACUGCUUGCAUAACCAACAUUCAGUUCAAGGAAGCUUCAGAUCUUAUCUUGAAAAUUUCUUUUACGUCUUCCAUGCUUUUCCAAUUAUUGAUUACUAAUUUUACACAAAAAAGUUCCCAAUAAUCUUUUCCAAAAUAGUCCAACAUAAUCAAAGGAGUCACUAAAAUUAGCUUGGAAAUAACAAGGAAACCUGCAGGCAUGGACGCCGCAAUAAUCAAUCCUCCUCCCUCGACACUUAUGCCACCGCUCCCCGUCCUGCGGUUCAAUUUUCUCUCUAUUUCAUAACUAUAUAAUACGUGCGUUGCACGUGUAUACUUACUAGUAAAUAAAGCAGGCGAGAUUUCUCAAAAAAAAAAAAAAUCCAACUCCGAUCGGGAUCAUAGCUCCUAAGGUUUGCCCCCGCCUUUAUUAGCCGAUGCAACACGGCGGCCUCCCUAGUCCGUACCUCGAUCGAUCGAAAGGUAGGUUCUUCUCGACGCCCCCUCCACAAAUCCCCACUUUGCGCCGGCGAAUCUUCUUGGCGAUGGCUGGUAAGCAGGGCCGCAAGAAGGCGAGGAGCCCCCCCGGAUGCCCUCAGCUGCGUCCGAGCGGCAGCACCGUCUCCGGAUCGAAGAAGCCUGCGGCGGCGACGGUUCCUUCGUGCAAGUACCACCUGUCGGAGGCGUCUGUCCAGGCGGUCCUAAACCACAAGAGGGUGCCUUUCGUCAUUGGGGACUACUUCGACGACCUGACCCCUGAGGAGCAGCAACUCACGCUCGAGGUGGCCGCCCAGCACGAGGAGGUCGAGGACAGGUACGCCAAGUACCAGGAAAGAGUCCGCAAGGAGCUGGAUGAGAAGGGAUUCGUCGCGCUCCCCGAUGACGUUGACAAGAGGAGGGCCGCGCUGAACGCGCGCUGAACGCCGCAAGCAUCGAGGCUUUCAGAGGAGUUGCCGAGGUCAAGUAGGUUUUCAGGAAGUUACAUGGGAAGAAGAGGAUGCAUCAUAGCGCCGUCUGCCUCUCUUGUUUUAUCUAUCUAUAUAUAUCUUUCUGUGUGAUAUCAAUGCACUGGUCUAGAUUUCCUGAAUCUGUUCGCUGGCACUCUUGUCAUUUAUCAAGCUGGAACUAGUCAUUGUGAUCUAAGUUGAUCUAUGUUUCACCUUGCAAUAAACUUGUCUAUAAAUUAUUUAUGGGCGAUGAUGCGAUGCUUGUUGCUGUUUUGUUCAUCUAAACUGAAGUAUUCGCGGCCAUGGCAUGGACACACUGGAUUUAUCA